rnacentral:rRNA from 1 species
AUAUGAAGUCGGGCCUGCCCAGUGAGUUUAUUCAACGGCCGCGGUACCCUGACCGUGCAAAGGUAGCAUAAUACUUGCCUUAUAAUUGAAGGCUGGAAUGAAUGGUUUGACAAGAAUGUAGCUGUCUCAUUAUAAUUUAAUAGAAUUUUAUUUUAGGAUGAAAAAGUCCUAGUCAAAUUAAAAGACAAGAAGACCCUAUCGAGCUUGAAGUUAAUUGAUAAAAAAUUAAUACUUAUAAAAAUUGUUAUCAAAAAUUUUGGUUGGGGCAACUAAGGAGCAAAAAAAGCCUCUUUUUAAAAACUAUACACACUAGUAAGGAUCCAAUAAUUUUGAUCAAAGAAAAUAGUUACCGUAGGGAUAACAGCAUUAUCUUUUUUGAGAGCCCUUAUCGAAAAAAAGGUUUGUGACCUCGAUGUUGGACCAGAAUAUCCUAAAGAUGCAGGA